rnacentral:lncRNA from 1 species
CCCGGUUCCUGGAGAGGUCGUCGCCUUGCAGCCCUGGCUGAUUUCGCAGGCUAAAGGCGAUUCUUCAACACAAAUGGCGUCUCGCUCUGUCACCCAGGCUGGAGUGCAGUGGUGCGAUCUCGGCUCACUGCAACCUCUGCCUUUCUGGUUCAAGCAAUUCUCCCUGCCUCAGCCUGAGGUUUCUCCAGGACGUCACCUGUAUGAGGUACACAGUGUGAUGACACACUCUGUGCUUUUCCUACUUGUGUCCACGUGAGUGUCUGGAGCUGCCCUUCAAGGAAGGCAAUAGAUGAAUGAUUCUGCCUUCCUGUUGAGAGGGAUGUGGGUCCUGCGGAUGGUCGGGGUGAAGCUUCCUCUCCUUUCUGCUGAUGGCACUUCCUCAUUAAAUGCAGAGAUCUGCAAAAAGGGAAAAUAAAAACACAAGAAG